GAUGAACGCUAGCGGCAGGCUUAACACAUGCAAGUCGAGGGGUAUAGUUCUUCGGAAUUAGAGACCGGCGCACGGGUGCGUAACGCGUAUGCAAUCUACCUUUCACAGAGGGAUAGCCCCAGAGAAAUUUGGAUUAAUACCUCAUAGUAUAGCAGUUUCGCAUGAAACCACUAUUAAAGUCACAACGGUGAAAGAUGAGCAUGCGUCCCAUUAGCUAGUUGGUAAGGUAACGGCUUACCAAGGCAACGAUGGGUAGGGGUCCUGAGAGGGAGAUCCCCCACACUGGUACUGAGACACGGACCAGACUCCUACGGGAGGCAGCAGUGAGGAAUAUUGGACAAUGGGCGCAAGCCUGAUCCAGCCAUGCCGCGUGCAGGAUGACGGUCCUAUGGAUUGUAAACUGCUUUAUUACAGGAAGAAACACUACUUCGUGAAGUAGCUUGACGGUACUGUAAGAAUAAGGAAUCGGCUAACUCCGUGCCAGCAGCCG
rnacentral:rRNA from 1 species